rnacentral:lncRNA from 13 species
AGAGCAACACUGUGAUGUAGGGCAAAAAUCAUCAAUGGAACAUCUCUUUCUGAAGAUGUCAGGGCAAGAGUUGGCCCAGAUAAUUAUUUCAUAGAUAGUCAUCUUGAAUAGACCCUCUGUCUGCCUUUCAUGUUCUGCUUCAAAGACAAGAGAAAGGAAGGUACGACGCUACUCGGAAACCGAAUGACUACUGCCUCUGUCUGUCUGUCUGUCUGUCUGUCUGUCUGUCUGUCUGUCUGUCUGUCUGUCUGUCUGUCUGUCUGUCAGUCUGUCUGUCUGUCUGUCUGUCUGUCUGCCUGUCUGUCUGCCUUUCAUGUUCUGCUUCAAAGACAAGAGAAAGGAAGGUACGACGCUACUCGGAAACCGAAUGACUACUGCCUCUGUCUGUCUGUCUGUCUGUCUGUCUGUCUGUCUGUCUGUCUGUCUGUCUGUCUGUCUGUCUGUCUGUCAGUCUGUCUGUCUGUCUGUCUGUCUGUCUGCCUGUCUGUCUGCCUUUCAUGUUCUGCUUCAAAGACAAGAGAAAGGAAGGUACGACGCUACUCGGAAACC